GCCACUUCAUCAUUAAAAAAAAGACCAGCUAAAAGUAAAAAACACUCAAAAAUAAUUGUGUCCUCGAAACUUCUUUACAGACUUUCUCUCGUAACCUCACCGCCACCGCCGCCGCGUGACCGCCACCUCUUCAGGAGUUGUUAGAUGGCUUAAGCUUCAGCUACGAAUGCAACUCCAGGCGGUAAAACCCGCGUGAGAAUUGUGGUUUGUGGAGGAAAGGGUACCGGAAAAUCGAGCUUGAUUGUAACUGCCGCCACCGAUUCGUUUCCUGCCAAUGUGCCGCCGGUUUUGCCGCCUACACGGCUGCCUGAGGAAUUCUACCCCGACCGCGUGCCCAUAACCAUUAUCGACACCUCUUCAAGUGCGGAGGAUAGAGGUAGACUGAGUGAAGAACUGAGGCGGGCUGAUGCAGUUGUGCUUACUUAUGCGUGUGAUCGGCCUGAGACCCUUGAAGAAUUAAGUGACUUUGGCUUCCAGAACUUCGUCAAUUAGAGGUGAAAGUGCCAGUUAUAGUGGUGGGUUGUAAGCUUGAUUUAAGAGAUGAGAGCCAUCAAAUGAGCCUGGAAACGGUAAUGAUGCCUAUAAUGCAACAGUUUCGAGAGAUUGAAACUUGCAUUGAGUGCUCUGCAUUGAAGCAAAUUCAGAUCCCUGAGGUUUUCUACUAUGCGCAAAAAGCAGUGCUUCAUCCAACAGGCCCUCUAUUUGAUCAGGAAACACAAGCUUUGAAGCCCCGGUGUGUGAGAGCCUUGAAUCGUAUCUUUAUUCUUUGUGAUCAUGACAGGGACGGUUCUCUUAGUGAUGCAGAGCUGAAUGAUUUUCAGGUUGAUUCUUCUUCUGUCUUUUCCUUGUUUUAGGGAAGGGAGGUUUAAUUAUUUGUCUGUGUAAUGUUGCUAUGUAUUAGAAUCGUUGUCCCCUUCUUGUGUAUUUUCAAUUUUUUAUUUAAAGCUUUGUAAGCCUAAUAAUGUAUGUUUGCUAUGUAGUGCUCAUGACUCACUGUAUUAUAUCCAUUAUUUCUAAUAAUUUUC